AUUGUGGCCAUAUCACCUUGAAACACCUGAUCUUAUUUGAUCUUAGAAGCAAGAAAGGGUGAAUUUGGGUCUCAUAUUGGACAGGCCUGCCAACUCUUCUGGGACUUCUUGGCUAUCUGAAGUUACUCUUA
ensembl:rRNA predicted gene, 24476